CCCCCCGUCUGUAGAAAAAUUGUCUUCCAUGAAAUCAGUUUUUGAUGCCAAAAAGGUUGGGGACCACUGUUUUAGAGGCAAGGGACCCCUCUCCAUCUCUGAUCCCCAAAUGCACUGACUCCUCUCAGCUCUGCAAACCUAAGGCUGCCUCUGUCUAAAUAGAGGUUCCCAACUAGAAGUGAUUUUUCAGAUCCUUAGUAACUGGCGUGGCACAGGCCCUCAGCCAUUGGAAUACACCCAGCCAGGGCCCUCAUCAAGCACCUACUGUAUGCUCUGUUCUGUAAGCUCUGUAAGCUCUGUUCUGUGUGCUGGGGAUGUGCCAGUGGAAAAAAGUCCAAAUCCUUACCACGAGAAGGUGUUGUUCUAGUGGAAAGGAGCAGAUGAUAAACAACUGAUUAAAUGAAAUCUAUGGCAGCAGAUGGCAGUGUAAGAGUCACAGAGGAAAUCAACACCAGGUAAGGGGAACCACAAGUUCUGGGCAAUGGUAGCUGCACUUUGAGUAGGUGGUCAUGGAAAAGCUCAUGAAGGUGACAUUUGAGCAAAGAUGAGAGGGUGGAGCCCCCCAGACAUCUGGGGGAACAGAGUUCCAGGCAGAGGGAUGAGCAUGUGCAAAGUCCUGAGGCAGUGGUGUGCCACGCACAUUCCAAGAAUAGCAAGGGGCUGGGUGUGGCUACUGUGGAGGGAGAGAGGCACAGUGGGAGGAGAUGAGAGGCAACAGGACAUCAUCUGGGUAGGGCCUUUGGGAGACUCUGAGGACCUGGGCUUUGUUCCAGAGGACACGGGAAGUCGCUGGUGGGCUCUGAGCCGAGGAGGGACGUGAUCUGAUCCCUCCAGCUGCUGUGUGCAAGGAGGAAGCAGGGAGACCCCUGAUGGUCCAUGGAGUGGGAAGGUGGCUUGGAUCAGAGGAGAAGGGCAGAGGUGCUCAGAUCCCAGAUCUGUGUUGAAGACGGGAUUUCGGUGAUUGAACUUCUUUAAUUCCCACAGCAACCCUAUAGGAAGGCACUUUUAUUGGAUGCAAAAAUAGCUCAGAGAGGUGACAGAACUUCCUGAGGCUUGACGGGGGCAGACAAUGGAGAGGCAGGGCCUGAUCCCAGUUUCCAAAUCCCUGUUGGUUCCUGUGGAGUCAACAGCCUGGUCUGGUGAUGGCCGUGGGGGCUCCCAGAGGAAGUGACAUUGACGCUGAGACCUGGAGGACCUGGAGCCAUGAGCCAAGCCGCAGCCCUGCUCCCUAGAGAUCGCCGUCUUCAGAAACUCCCAGGCCCCUGCUCUUUCCACAUUUUUCAGCCUGACGUGUGGCCAAAGCAUGACAAACCUCCAUGGAUCAUGGAAUACAGGAUGUGCUCACACUGGAUACACCUGUGCCUCCUGCACCUGGAUCAAGAAUCAUCACAGCUAGGCCCCCAGGGCUCCUUGGACCUCCUCUCAAGACGGAGUCUCGCUCUGUUGCCCAGGCUGCAGUGCAGUGGUG